UACGUAGGUGGCAAGCGUUGUCCGGAAUUACUGGGCGUAAAGAGCGCGUAGGCGGGGAUUUAAGUCAGGAGUGAAAACUGGCGGCUCAACUGCCAGCCUGCUCUUGAAACUGGAUCUCUUGAGGGUAUGAGAGGAAAGCGGAAUUCCCAGUGUAGCGGUGAAAUGCGUAGAUAUUGGGAGGAACACCAGUGGCGAAGGCGGCUUUCUGGCAUACAACUGACGCUGAGGCGCGAAAGCGUGGGGAGCAAACGGG
rnacentral:rRNA from 2 species